AACGAACGCUGGCGGCAUGCCUAACACAUGCAAGUCGAACGAACCCUUCGGGGUUAGUGGCGCACGGGUGCGUAACGCGUGGGAACCUGCCUUUAGGUUCGGAAUAACUCAGAGAAAUUUGAGCUAAUACCGGAUAAUGUCUUCGGACCAAAGAUUUAUCGCCUUUAGAUGGGCCCGCGUUAGAUUAGAUAGUUGGUGGGGUAAUGGCCUACCAAGUCGACGAUCUAUAGCUGGUCUGAGAGGAUGAUCAGCCACACUGGGACUGAGACACGGCCCAGACUCCUACGGGAGGCAGCAGUGGGGAAUAUUGGACAAUGGGCGAAAGCCUGAUCCAGCAAUGCCGCGUGAGUGAUGAAGGCCUUAGGGUUGUAAAGCUCUUUUACCAGGGAUGAUAAUGACAGUACCUGGAGAAUAAGCUCCGGCUAACUCCGUG
rnacentral:rRNA from 1 species